rnacentral:rRNA from 1 species
UGUGCCUGCGGAGGGAUCAUU